ensembl:misc_RNA 7SK 7SK RNA
AGAUAGGAGGACGAUAUGUCUGCCACACCUGUCACUUCACUGACCACUGCAGUUGACUCAGCUGAUGUAGUUAAUAAAUAGACGUCUCCUUUGUCCCUCACAGCUCCAUGUCCACCUCUCUAACCUUGGAUUUAAGAUGUCCAAAAGGGAAGGGAUAUAUGUAUGUAUAUGGCUGAUUCAUUUUGCUGUACAGUAGAAACUCACACAACUAUAGUUAUAAAGAAAUUCUGCUGCUGCUGCUAAGUUGCUU